rnacentral:lncRNA from 1 species
GUCUGUGGCUGAGGAAAUGUGAUUUUCUUAAAUCCAAGUGCAGUUGGCAUGGAAGCAAAAGAGUUAUACAAGGAAGACUGUCAAGUACACAAGCCCACCUGGGGAUACGCUCUGCAGAACGGAGAGUACAGCGAGGGACACAGCACACCAAGUCACUCAAGAGCCCACCAGGGUCUCACGGCACCUUCAAGCAAAUGGGAACACCUCUCAAUGCCAAAACCCACUGGCAACCAGAGAUGACCUGUGGCUAUACAGGUCCACCACAGUCCAACUCCAACCUUUAUUUUUCACAAGUAGUAAAUCAAAAAGAAAACUUUUUAUAGUGGUAAUUCUGGCAUUUUCUUCAUCCCAGCUGCUUAGUGACAUUCAAUUUAUUUCUCUGUCCUUAGAUUCAAAAAAUAUUUUUUUAAUCUUGCAAAUAAA